GAAAGUCGAGCCGCAUCGCUCGAUAUUCUGUGAGAGGCAAACUGUGCCUCUAUAUGGUGAAACCACAAUGUCGGGUCGUGGGUCCAGAAUGGUGGAAUUUUUAACGAGAUCGCCGCUUGGAAUACCAUGUCGAUAGAGCGGAAGAGCGUC